CCUACGGGAGGCAGCAGUGAGGAAUAUUGGUCAAUGGGCUUACGCCUGAACCAGCCAAGUCGCGUGAGGGAAGACUGCCCUAUGGGUUGUAAACCUCUUUUGUCAGGGAGCAACGCCGGCUCCGUUUAGCCGGUCUGAGAGUACCUGAAGAAAAAGCCUCGGCUAACCCCGUGCCAGCAGCCGCGGUAAUACGGAGGCUGCGAGCGUUAUCCGGAUUUAUUGGGUUUAAAGGGUGCGCAGGCGGAAUGCCAAGUCAGCGGUAAAAUCGCGGGGCUCAACCUCGCUCCGCCGUUGAAACUGGCGGUCUUGAGUGGGCGAGAAGUAUGCGGAAUGCGUGGUGUAGCGGUGAAAUGCUUAGAUAUCACGCAGAACUCCGAUUGCGAAGGCAGCAUACCGGCGCACAACUGACGCUGAAGCACGAAAGCGUGGGUAUCGAACAGGAUUAGAUACCCCUGUAGUC
rnacentral:rRNA from 1 species